CUACGGGGGGCUCCAGUGGGGAAUAUUGCACAAUGGGGGCAAGCCUGAUGCAGCCAUGCCGCGUGUAUGAAGAAGGCCUUCGGGUUGUAAAGUACUUUCAGUAAGGAGGAAGGCAGUUGCGUUAAUAGCGUAAUUGUUUGACGUUACUUACAGAAGAAGCACCGGCUAACUCCGUGCCAGCAGCCGCGGUAAUACGGAGGGUGCGAGCGUUAAUCGGAAUUACUGGGCGUAAAGCGCAUGCAGGUGGUCUGUUAAGUCAGAUGUGAAAGCCCCGGGCUCAACCCGGGAUGGUCAUUUGAAACUGGCAGGCUAGAGUACUGUAGAGGGGGGUAGAAUUUCAGGUGUAGUGGUGAAAUGCGUAGAGAUCUGAAGGAAUACCGGUGGCGAAGGCGGCCCCCUGGACAGAUACUGACACUCAGAUGCGAAAGCGUGGGGAGCAAACAGGAUUAGAUACCCUCGUAGUC
rnacentral:rRNA from 1 species